GUUAACGACGAUUUUAUUUUGCGACAUUUUGGUGAGACUCUCGAAGAGUUAUGCGCAUUUCGUCCUCUGUUCUAGCGUAGAUAUAUACGUGUUAUGUAUGCAUGUAUGUAUGUAUAUGUAUCUAUGAAUGUAUGUGUAGCAAACGGGGAAAAGGGAAAUCCGAGAUGGACAAGCGAUUUCUGUCGACGGGUUGCGACGUAUAGAAACGUGAGAUAGUGUGUGUGAGAAAAGGAGAGAGAGAGAGAGAGAGAGAGAGAAAGGAUAGAUAGACAGAAAGAAAGAAAGAGAGACAUAGACUGAACGCCUGUUUCUAUUUUUAGCUAAGCGCCGUCCUUCGCUUUUACGUAACGCCACGAAAGAAUAAUGUUUGCCGUUCGCGUGCGGCCUAAUCGGACCGUUGCGUCGCAAACACAUAGUUCUUUGAAAGGCCUACUAAAGCGAUGACGCAUUGAAUUAUUGUAAUCUAUCAUGUAAACGCACGCCUCGUUUUAUUUUCUAUCCUCGUUCUCUCGUUGAUAUGUUUCCUUUUAAAUGAUGGACAUCGGGAUUAACGAGAAGCUUUGCUUUUACAAGAUAUUCGAGCCUAUUCUUUUGGUAGUUUGAUCGAUCGGAGAUACAAUCGUUUAAAGUUACAUUGUGCUCAUUUACGAUUGCUCUUCCAUCUGUUAGAAAAAUUCAUUUUGUUUUGUGUAUGGGCAGUUGAUAAGGUAGGAAACUUCUUGGAUAAAUAUAUAGAUACUGAGAGUGAAUGAUUGAUAAGGAUGUGCGUCAAGAGAUCGUGCAGGAUAGCUUGAAAAGUCUUGAUGAUAAUUUUAUUUAUGAAUAAAAAUCAUGAAAAAAGAAGACAGGAAAAUCUCAUUACGAGCGUUGAAAACUUUUCUAACGGUGAAAAGAAAAGACAAGAAAGAAAAAGAAAAAAAAAAAAAAACCGCUGCAUCCUUUCGAAAGAUUCGUUUAGCGUGACGAUGGUUGUCGCGGAAAAGGAUGAAAAGCUUCCCCUUGCAGUUCUCUUUCUUAGGUUUAUGACUUUUUCAACGUACCGGAAAGAGCAAACUCGUCGAGAGGCGAGAGAAAAGUUUCGUUGGCAGCUGAGAGCGUAGUUUUCAUCGCGAGGAUACGCGCGUUCUUCCUUAAUUCACGUCUAUUACCAUAUAUCUUUCUACUAAUGGACUAGUUAUUAAUCAACGUUACACGAUAUUCUGCGUAUUAUAUCGCUUUUCGUCAUCUUGCGCUGAAUUAGCACGAAUAAUCCGUUGUGGAAAGAUGAUGUUUACCACAUGGGAAAUCAGCUAUCUAUCGACAUACAAUAUCGAUUGGAACUUAUAGGGGAACUGCUACUUCUCUCUCUCUCUCUCUCUUGCUGUCUGUCUGUCUCUCUUUGAGAGGAUUAUCGUCGAUUCGGCUGUCCCACUUUUAUUUUAUUUUUUCCUCUUCGUUUUAUUCACUUCUUUUUUUCUAUAUCUCUCUCUUUCUCUUUCUUUCUUAUUCAUCGACUCUUCGGCGAAUACCGAAGAUAUAGAAUACCGAAUACCGAGUAUAACUUUGGUAUUUCAGUUUGAAGAAGGAGGGUCGACUAAAUUAUAUUUAUGCUAGGACGGAAUACGCUUAAAUUAGGGUGACUAAUUUCAUUGAGUUAACAUUUGCUGAGAGGGUCGAAUAAAAUUAUUAUAUCUACUCUUAGACCUUCUUUAUUACUCACGUGUAAUGUUCUCGCAUAAAUAAUAAGUAAAGUUUUUCUUAUGAUUACCAACGAUUUUUAAGAAUUCAAUUGGUAAGAGCAAACUUCUUUAUAUACGGGCUGGAUGCGAAAUUUUCUCGGGGGUCUUGCAAUCUUACAAUCCGAAACAGAUAGAGAUGGAGAGAGAGAGAGAGAGAGAGAGAGAGAGAGAGAGAGAGA